UCGGGUGCGCACUUAAAGGCCGCUCCGAGACCGCUCUAAACAGGUGGUCUCGAAGCAGCUGUCGCCGAACUCUGGGGCGACCCACCUGUGGUGUGAACACUGCUGGACCUCGGGCCAAACCAAAUACAGGAAGUCCUCCACAUGUUUGAGCCACUGGGCUUCCGUUGUGACGUGAGCCGGGUGUUAUAUUGUGGGUUAACAACAAACAAGCCAAUCCUGGUCCGUGGCAGAGAUUCGCAGUCUCCUUUAUGUUUGAGCUGAUGAUUUUAUAAAUGCAUAGCUGUCCUCCACAGACAAAUAGUGACAUUACGGGCUUUUUAGCAAACGGCUCCGUGAGAAAAACUUUAAUAGAACAGCUAUCCAAUUUCGCGUUAAAGCAAAGAAACUUCGCAAAGACGUGCAUCGUUUAUCUCCACAUCUUGAUAGCUGCGCUCUCCCUGUCAGGCUGGUUGUCGUGGAAACGUGGGGGUGGUCAUGAGACGGUAAGAGCUGUCAGAGACCAAUGACAGGGCUGACCGUUGUCACAUGGUGUACGGUGCGGCAUUUCGAGUACAGCAAAAAAUAUAUAUGUGAACACGGACCGCACUAACUGAAAAAUGAUACAAUGUAUUUUGGUGCCCUCCGAGGCCGCACCACGGUACGCACCAACAUAUGUGAAAACAGCCUCAGGCAGUUGGCCUAACGGUACAUUCACACGGGGCGUAAGCGUUAACGCUUAACGGAAGGCUUGUCUGAAGUGUGGCCAACAGCCAAUCACUGUGGCCGCAACACAAGCUCCGGUCUUCCAUAAACGUAACUGGCUGGCUCUGCCUAGGUUAUUUGCAUAAGGCGAUAUGAUUGGCUGACGCACGCGUUGCCGCUUGAAAAGUUGAGAAAUGUUCAACUUCUGCCGUUAAAAGUGAAUGGGAAGCGUCAACGUUUAUGCCCCGUGUUAAUGCGCCGUAAGAGCGGAGCAGAGGUGUAUGCCAGUUUGGACUGGCCGUGUGUGAACUGGUUACUGCUGAGAGUGUAUACACUGUAAAACUUUUCUGUAAAUUUACAGCGAAUUUUCAAAAAACAGUGUUAGACUGUAUAUUUACAAAUAUUUACAGAAUGUCUGUAAAUUUACAGAAUUGUCCUGUUUUCAGCAUGCAAAAUUCGUAAUACAGAAUAAUACUGUAAAAGCAAUGCAUUGUGGGAUUGAUUUCCUUCGCGCUCAAUAUUUGAAUGUAAGCAGAGCUAGUGCUUCGGAAGUUCGGACGCCCUUUAUUUGUUAGGAUUGGUUAUUCAUAUAAACAACAACGAUAUGAAGACAACGCGUUCAACUUUUAAUCUAUAGCUGCGUGUGAUGUGAAAACGUACACGGAACAAUUAAAAGUUACACGACGACGCGGCAGAAAUGAGAGGAUUAUGCAUGCAACAAGAAGACGGGGAGAAUACAAUGUGUCUGUGAUGAAGAUAAACGAAGAUUGACUGACUGUGCAUCAUUGACACGGUCCGUCUCUAAGCAACCAGCGCUGGAUGUUGAGCAUGUACGGUCAGGUUGUGUGUGAAGGAGAGCAGCGCAACUUUUUCUCUGGUCUUGCAACGAUCAGAUUUGCCUCAUUCUACAAUUUUAACCUCCAGGAUCUGGAAGCGGUGGCAUGCACCAUUGGGUUUGUUCAGAGAUGAUUUCCCUACAUUAACCUGGAACGUGGAUCAAAGAUGAAGAAAGGGAAAAAGAACACUACAGUGAAUCCACAGGUUUCUACUCUUCUUAGAAAACUUACAGACUUUAAGUGCAAUUUUCUUUAGACACUUCCACUAUCCAGUGUAGUUGAAUUAAAAGGAAAUAAAGUUUCCUACAUUGUUAAUGAUGUGCUGUUAAUUGAAAUACAAACGUACAGCUGGCAUUUCAUCCAAUAUGCUUAUGUUAAAGGGACACUUCAACCAUUUGCAUUAAGCUUUGUAUAGUUAGAACCCCACUCAUGUUUUUGAAUGGUCGUGCAUUAUUUCCUCAGUUUCCGCUGAGACAGGAGAAAUACAGAUUUCAGUGUUGCACUUCCUUCUUUCAAUGAUGUAAAAAUCAUCAUUUUGUAUCAUUGAAAGAAGGAAGUCCAAUAUCUUUGUUGAGGGGGUGAGACUAAAAACACCCCUUUUUUCGGUCAAAUAGGCACCAAAUUCGAAAUGUUUGUUACAUUUCGAGUAUGAAUAUGACGCACUUUCAAUAAAGAUUAAUGUUUCUAAGGGUGAAAUGCUCCUUUAAAGAAUUAAUCCACUUUUAAAAUG